GAUGAACGCUGGCGGCGUGCCUAACACAUGCAAGUCGAGCGAACAGACGAUGAUUUUGCUCGUCUGACGUGAGCGGCGGACGUGUGAAUAACAUGUGUAUAACCUACCUAUAUGACUGGGAUCACUUCGGGAAAGCGGAUCCUAUAGCGGAGAAUAUACUGAAGCUCGGUGGUCAAUGGUGAGAUUCGGCUGUUCGGUCACUUAUAGAUGGAUCGGCGCUGUUUUGGGUAGUUGUUAGGUUAAUGGCUUUCCAAGGCGACGAUGCGUAGGCGAACUGACAGGAGGAUAGGCCACCCGGGAGCGGAGACACGGUCCAGACUCCUACGGGAGGCAGCAGAGGGGAAUGUUAGGCAAUGGGCGAAAGUUUGGCGGAGCAAGGCCGCGUGAGUGAUGAAGGUGUUCGGAUCGUAAAGAUGUGUUAUGAGGGAAGAACAGAUGUGUAAGUAGAUGAGGAGGUCUUGACGGUACCGAAUAAAAAAGCAACGGCUAACUACGUG
rnacentral:rRNA from 1 species